UACAGAGGGUGCGAGCGUUAAUCGGAAUUACUGGGCGUAAAGCGUGCGUAGACGGUUAUUUAAGUCGGGUGUGAAAGCCCCGGGCUCAACCUGGGAAUUGCAUUCGAGACUGAAUAGCUAGGGUACGGUAGAGGGAAGCGGAAUUUCCGGUGUAGGCGGUGAAAUGCGUAGAUAUCGGAAGGAACAUCAGUGGCGAAAGCGGACUCCUGG
rnacentral:rRNA from 1 species